UCUCAUUCACUCCUGGCCUGAGGCCGUGGAUGACCUACCUGUGGAACUGGUCAUGGAAACGAUCACGAUGUCCUUGUAAAGUGUCAGCGGGAAGACCUGAAAUCCACAACAUGCGUGCAGCUUGAACAGCAGUUUGACGGUGAAGUGGUAGAGGUGACUACAGUCCUGGACAACUUGGAUGAGUGGUGCCAGCCGACACUGGCCAGAUGUGAGAGUGGAGAUGGCGAUGGAUGUGUUGAGCUGUCGGAUCACUGGGAGAGAGAUCAGAGAAUAAACAUACAGUACAUUGCGCUCCAGGACUUCAUCUGUGACCUCCAGGUUCGGUGGGAUUUCUGGAUGCUGCAGAGGCGCAUUUUUGGAGGUUGGCCUGGACACCACAGGAGCAGACAAGGAAGAAUUGAGCACAAAUCAU